AUGAGGAUAGAGCCAAAACAUUGGGAGAGAUCAUUUUUUCAGUUGGCAAACUGUGAGUCUGUUGACAAUAACCUAUGUGAAUCAUUCAACAAUGCCAUUUUAGAAGCAAGGUACUACCCUAUCAUUUCACAACAAGAGAAAAUAAGGAAUAAAGUUUAUGUCAGGAUUCAGGAGCAAAGAAGCAAAAGUGCUAAAUGGAAUGGAACAAUUUUCCAUGGUGUGUUCAAGAAACUGAAGGUCAGCAUUAAGAGAACUCGGUUUCUCGAGGUACUUUGGAAUGGAAAGGAAGGAUUUGAGGUCAAACACUUGCAAGGCAGAUGCAAGAGAUACACAGUGAAUCUUGAGAAAUGGACAUGCUCAUGUGGCUAUUUUCAGCUAGCAGGCCUCCCCUGCUGCCAUGCAAUCAGUGCCAUCUAUAAGAGUGGAAGAAAAAUAGAAGAUUAUGUAGCCAAGUGCUAUCACAUUGAGACUUUCAACAAAAUUUAUGAGCAUUGUCUGCAACCAGUUGAAGGAGAAGAAAACUGGCCGGUAUCUCAAAACCCUAGGCCAAUGGCACCUCGCUAUAUUGCCAUGCCAGGAGCAAGGAAGAAGUUGACAGGAAAUGAUAGGAGAAGGGAAGAGGGGUGUCGGUGUCAAAACCGGCGGAUCUCGGGUAGGGGGUCCCGAACUGUGCGUCUAGGCCGGAUGGUAACAGGAGACAAGGGACACAAUGUUUUACCCAGGUUCGGGCCCUCUUGA
rnacentral:rRNA from 1 species